AUCCAUCUGACGAGCCCCAAAUAGGACGAAACACGCGUCCUGGAU
rnacentral:hammerhead_ribozyme from 1 species